rnacentral:rRNA from 1 species
AACGAACGCUGGCGGCAUGCCUAACACAUGCAAGUCGAACGAGACCUUCGGGUCUAGUGGCGCACGGGUGCGUAACGCGUGGGAAUCUGCCCUUGGGUUCGGAAUAACAGUUGGAAACGACUGCUAAUACCGGAUGAUGACGUAAGUCCAAAGAUUUAUCGCCCAAGGAUGAGCCCGCGUAGGAUCAGCUAGUUGGUGAGGUAAAGGCUCACCAAGGCGACGAUCCUUAGCUGGUCUGAGAGGAUGAUCAGCCACACUGGGACUGAGACACGGCCCAGACUCCUACGGGAGGCAGCAGUGGGGAAUAUUGGACAAUGGGCGAAAGCCUGAUCCAGCAAUGCCGCGUGAGUGAUGAAGGCCUUAGGGUUGUAAAGCUCUUUUACCCGGGAUGAUAAUGACAGUACCGGGAGAAUAAGCUCCGGCUAACUCCGUG